AUUGAACGCUGGCGGCAUGCCUUAUACAUGCAAGUCGAACGGCAGCACGGGUGCUUGCACCUGGUGGCGAGUGGCGAACGGGUGAGUAAUACAUCGGAACGUACCUUAUCGUGGGGGAUAACGCAGCGGAAGCUGUGCUAAUACCGCAUACGCCCUGAGGGGGAAAGCGGGGGAUCGCAAGACCUCGCGCGAUUAGAGCGGCCGAUGCCUGAUUAGCUUGUUGGUGGGGUAAAAGCCCACCAAGGCGACGAUCAGUAGCUGGUCUGAGAGGACGAUCAGCCACACUGGGACUGAGACACGGCCCAGACUCCUACGGGAGGCAGCAGUGGGGAAUUUUGGACGAUGGGGGCAACCCUGAUCCAGCAAUGCCGCGUGAGUGAAGAAGGCCUUCGGGUUGUAAAGCUCUUUUGUCAGGGAAGAAACACCGGCUCUAACACAGUCCGGGAAUGACGGUACCUGAAGAAUAAGCACCGGCUAACUACGUGCCAGCCGCCGCCGUAA
rnacentral:rRNA from 1 species